rnacentral:rRNA from 1 species
GACGAACGCUGGCGGCGUGCUUAACACAUGCAAGUCGAACGGAAAGGCCCUGCUUUUGUGGGGUGCUCGAGUGGCGAACGGGUGAGUAACACGUGAGUAACCUGCCCUUGACUUUGGGAUAAAUUCAGGAAACUGGGGCUAAUACCGGAUAGGAGCUCCUGAUGCACGGUGGGGGUUGGAAAGUUUCGGCGGUUGGGGAUGGACUCGCGGCUUAUCAGCUUGUUGGUGGGGUAGUGGCUUACCAAGGCUUUGACGGGUAGCCGGCCUGGGAGGGUGGCCGGCCACAUUGGGCCUGAGAGACGGCCCAGACUCCUACGGGAGGCAGCAGUGGGGAAUAUUGCACAAUGGGCGGAAGCCUGAUGCAGCAACGCCGCGUGCGUGAUGACGUCCUUCGGGUUGUAAACCGCUUUCGCCUGUGACGAAGCGUGAGUGACGGUAAUGGGUAAAGAAGCACCGGCUAACUACGUG